rnacentral:rRNA from 1 species
UUAAGCGACUAAGCGUACACGGUGGAUGCCCUGGCAGUCAGAGGCGAUGAAGGACGUGCUAAUCUGCGAAAAGCGUCGGUAAGGUGAUAUGAACCGUUACAGCCGGCGAUGUCCGAAUGGGGAAACCCAGUGUGAUUCGUCACACUAUCGUUAACUGAAUACAUAGGUUAACGAGGCGAACCGGGGGAACUGAAACAUCUAAGUACCCCGAGGAAAAGAAAUCAACCGAGAUUCCCCCAGUAGCGGCGAGCGAACGGGGAGCAGCCCAGAGUCUGAAUCAGCUUGUGUGUUAGUGGAACGGUCUGGAAAGUCCGACGGUACAGGGUGAUAGUCCCGUACACCAAAAUGCACAGGUUGUGAACUCGAAGAGUAGGGCGGGACACGUGGUAUCCUGUCUGAAUAUGGGGGGACCAUCCUCCAAGGCUAAAUACUCCUGACUGACCGAUAGUGAACCAGUACCGUGAGGGAAAGGCGAAAAGAACCCCGGCGAGGGGAGUGAAAAAGAACCUGAAACCGUGUACGUACAAGCAGUGGGAGCACCCUUUAGGGUGUGACUGCGUACCUUUUGUAUAAUGGGUCAGCGACUUAUAUUCUGUAGCAAGGUUAACCGUAUAGGGGAGCCGCAGGGAAACCGAGUCUUAACUGGGCGUUAAGUUGCAGGGUAUAGACCCGAAACCCGGUGAUCUAGCCAUGGGCAGGUUGAAGGUUGGGUAACACUAACUGGAGGACCGAACCGACUAAUGUUGAAAAAUUAGCGGAUGACUUGUGGCUGGGGGUGAAAGGCCAAUCAAACCGGGAGAUAGCUGGUUCUCCCCGAAAGCUAUUUAGGUAGCGCCUCGUGAAUUCAUCUUCGGGGGUAGAGCACUGUUUCGGCUAGGGGGUCAUCCCGACUUACCAACCCGAUGCAAACUACGAAUACCGAAGAAUGUUAUCACGGGAGACACACGGCGGGUGCUAACGUCCGUCGUGAAGAGGGAAACAACCCAGACCGCCAGCUAAGGUCCCAAAGUCAUGGUUAAGUGGGAAACGAUGUGGGAAGGCACAGACAGCCAGGAUGUUGGCUUAGAAGCAGCCAUCAUUUAAAGAAAGCGUAAUAGCUCACUGGUCGAGUCGGCCUGCGCGGAAGAUGUAACGGGGCUAAACCAUGCACCGAAGCUGCGGCAGCGACGCUUAUGCGUUGUUGGGUAGGGGAGCGUUCUGUAAGCCUGCGAAGGUGGCCUGUGAGGGCUGCUGGAGGUAUCAGAAGUGCGAAUGCUGACAUAAGUAACGAUAAAGCGGGUGAAAAGCCCGCUCGCCGGAAGACCAAGGGUUCCUGUCCAACGUUAAUCGGGGCAGGGUGAGUCGACCCCUAAGGCGAGGCCGAAAGGCGUAGUCGAUGGGAAACAGGUUAAUAUUCCUGUACUUGGUGUUACUGCGAAGGGGGGACGGAGAAGGCUAUGUUAGCCGGGCGACGGUUGUCCCGGUUUAAGCAUGUAGGCGGAGGUUCCAGGUAAAUCCGGUACCUUUUAACGCUGAGAUGUGAUGACGAGGCACUACGGUGCUGAAGUAACAAAUGCCCUGCUUCCAGGAAAAGCCUCUAAGCAUCAGGUAACAUCAAAUCGUACCCCAAACCGACACAGGUGGUCAGGUAGAGAAUACCAAGGCGCUUGAGAGAACUCGGGUGAAGGAACUAGGCAAAAUGGUGCCGUAACUUCGGGAGAAGGCACGCUGGUGUGUAGGUGAAGUCCCUGCGGACGGAGCUGAGACCAGUCGAAGAUACCAGCUGGCUGCAACUGUUUAUUAAAAACACAGCACUGUGCAAACACGAAAGUGGACGUAUACGGUGUGACGCCUGCCCGGUGCCGGAAGGUUAAUUGAUGGGGUUAUCCGUAAGGAGAAGCUCUUGAUCGAAGCCCCGGUAAACGGCGGCCGUAACUAUAACGGUCCUAAGGUAGCGAAAUUCCUUGUCGGGUAAGUUCCGACCUGCACGAAUGGCGUAAUGAUGGCCAGGCUGUCUCCACCCGAGACUCAGUGAAAUUGAACUCGCUGUGAAGAUGCAGUGUACCCGCGGCAAGACGGAAAGACCCCGUGAACCUUUACUAUAGCUUGACACUGAACAUUGAGCCUUGAUGUGUAGGAUAGGUGGGAGGCUUUGAAGCGUGGACGCCAGUCUGCGUGGAGCCAACCUUGAAAUACCACCCUUUAAUGUUUGAUGUUCUAACGUUGGCCCCUUAUCGGGGUUGCGGACAGUGUCUGGUGGGUAGUUUGACUGGGGCGGUCUCCUCCCAAAGAGUAACGGAGGAGCACGAAGGUUAGCUAAUCCUGGUCGGACAUCAGGAGGUUAGUGCAAUGGCAUAAGCUAGCUUGACUGCGAGCGUGACGGCGCGAGCAGGUGCGAAAGCAGGUCAUAGUGAUCCGGUGGUUCUGAAUGGAAGGGCCAUCGCUCAACGGAUAAAAGGUACUCCGGGGAUAACAGGCUGAUACCGCCCAAGAGUUCAUAUCGACGGCGGUGUUUGGCACCUCGAUGUCGGCUCAUCACAUCCUGGGGCUGAAGUAGGUCCCAAGGGUAUGGCUGUUCGCCAUUUAAAGUGGUACGCGAGCUGGGUUUAGAACGUCGUGAGACAGUUCGGUCCCUAUCUGCCGUGGGCGCUGGAGAAUUGAGGGGGGCUGCUCCUAGUACGAGAGGACCGGAGUGGACGCAUCACUGGUGUUCGGGUUGUCAUGCCAAUGGCACUGCCCGGUAGCUAAAUGCGGAAGAGAUAAGUGCUGAAAGCAUCUAAGCACGAAACUUGCCCCGAGAUGAGUUCUCCCUGAGACUAUAAGUCUCCUGAAGGAACGUUAAAGACGAUGACGUUGAUAGGCCGGGUGUGUAAGCGCAGCGAUGCGUUGAGCUAACCGGUACUAAUGAACCGUGAGGCUUAACCUU